UGGAUAAAAAUCUGAUUUGUACAUCAUAAGGCACCACCAACCAUGAGCUGAUCUAGAUGGUAUCAUCCCUUCAACAAAAAAAGAGAUGAUAUCACUUUAACUUUGCACCACAAUGAUCAGGAGAUCAAAUUUCAGCAAUACUGCAAACAAUAUAAGCAGAGCAGAGUUCCAAAGUGCACUUAAUUCAAAAUGAUAGUACCUCACCAAACAGAGCAGCAGCUUAACAAAAGUUCACAUAGCAGAAGCUGAACAAAAACAACUAAAGCAAAUAUUGACAGAAAAAAAGAUCAGAAGAAGAAGACAAAACAUCUUAACACAGAGUAAACAAAUAUUGACAGAAAUAACAACGUAUCAUAAAUGAUUCUUAUCAUAAGGAAAACUCCACCAAAACAGAAGCAAUAACUAUAUAACAUAGCAGCAUAUUAACCACUGACAUCAAUGCUAAUGAAGUGCUCAAUACAUAAGGUUCCACCUUUGACAUUACCAAUUUAUGUUGUAAAUACAAAACUUAAUCAAAUACCAAAAAGACAUUUUUAGCAUAAAACCAUCAAACAGAAACAUCAAAGCAGUCUUUUAUCAUUACAAGUUCAAAUGGUAAUAAUUCAGUCACACAAAUACAUUUAAGGUGAUAUCCCAAAAACAAAAUUCACUAAAAUUACAUCGGAGAAUGGAAAGGAAAAACCAAAACAGAAAAUAAAAGGAGUACAAUUAUAUACUUGUUAGUUAUCUUUGAGUCAAAUUAUCAAACAUUUAGAAGACAAAAAUGGAGGAUACUCUAGCAAAGCAAACAAAAACCCAAGCAAUUAAUGAAAUUAAACAUGGAAUUGAAAGAGUAGAGCAUACAUACAUAUACACAUGGAAUGAAAAUGAUAAAUCGAUAUUCAAACAGUCCAUUCUGAGAAUUUAAAGCUAGAUUCAAGUGCUAAUUAUGGUAUGUAGAUCAAUUAGGUAUGAGAACGAGAUUGGUGGAGAUAUUGAACGAGAAUGAUGAAGAGAACCAGAUUGAUAAUACCUUUAUUCUCCUUCAGCGAUUUGCUCGAUCAAUUGGAUAUGAGAACGAGAUUGGUGAUAACUUGCUUCUUCGAUCGGUGGGAGAAAGGUAGGGAUAAAAGGUACCAUGGUGUUUAAAGAAUUCUAUAUAAAAUAAAAUUAUUACCGAU
rnacentral:lncRNA from 1 species